GGAUGUGAGGGCGAUCUGGCCACAACAUCUGUCACCCCAUUGAAGGCCAGGGUUGAUACGGCUGAUCUGGUGGGCUGGGUGGGUGUCCCCUUCCUCCCUCAACGCUCCAUGCGCAUCCCUCCCGAAGCUGCGCACUUGUUCAAAGAGGAUGACCACCCCCAAGAGAGGAGGACCAUUCCUCGGUCAAGGGUAUGGGAGUAGCUGCGCUCCCGGGCUAGAACCUCCAAACAAGCUCUCAAGAAACAUUCAAAUGUAUCACUGGUUCCUUUUCCCCAAAAAACUCAAGAGUGUGUUGCCUGAAGCUCCAGCCAGACUUGCUGC
rnacentral:snRNA from 1 species